UAUUGGCCGGAAAGGCUGAUUCUUGUCGACUGGAGAUCGAUCCGGACCGGAUCCUGCGGCCGGUGCCGCUAU
rnacentral:tRNA from 1 species